rnacentral:ncRNA from 1 species
GUUGAAAAAGGUACACUAUCCCAAAGGGUAGGCCGCGAAGUUUUGGGUCUAAAUCACUUUUAGUGACAUGAUUGCCAAGCUGCCGAUU